rnacentral:rRNA from 1 species
UACAGAGGGUGCGAGCGUUAAUCGGAAUUACUGGGCGUAAAGCGCGCGUAGGCGGCUUUGCAAGUCGGGUGUGAAAGCCCCGGGCUCAACCUGGGAAUGGCAUUUGGGACUGCAAGGCUUGAGUGCGGCAGAGGAGACUGGAAUUCCUGGUGUAGCAGUGAAAUGCGUAGAUAUCAGGAGGAAUACCGAUGGCGAAGGCAGGUCUCUGGGCUGACACUGACGCUCAUGCACGAAAGCGUGGGGAGCAAACAGG